AAAUGAUUUUGGGGAUAUGAAUUUGUUCAGCUAUUUCUAAGCAUUACAUAUGCCUGUAAUUAUCUACUGGUUUGAAGGCAGAGAGGAGGAAGAAAGUGGGUCAAAGCUCAGAUGGUUGUGUUUAGAAGAUACCUCAGAUAAUAACCACUGCUUUGCAAACAGUUGUUUGCCAGUGCAGUGUGAAUAGCAGACAUUAUUAUUAUUAUUAUUGAAAUCCCUAGUCUUUCUACAUAUUUAAAAGUACUUGACACAUUUAAAAGUAGAAGUAGUAGAAUAAUGGUUUGUGUAAAUGGUUUUGAAAAACUGGAGACACUAUAUUUAGAACAGUUAACCCACCUCUGAGAAUAGUGCACCAGCUGUACUUGUUCAGUGGAUUGAGGAGGUGGGAGGGAAGAAACUGCAAAAAGAUACCCUUAGUGUGCUAGAUAGACACCUUUAGCUUACCCGUCACCCCGUGUGGUAGAUUCACUUCAUUUAAUGUUGCUGUUCUGUAUAUAGCAUACAUACUGGACAAAGGAGUUCUUAUUUUAUGAUCUCUAGUUUCUAGGUGUUGAAGAGGUUGCCAACGUAUGACAAAUGUAGAGUUAGUGAACUAACACAUCCUGUAUACUCUGUUAAAGUUCACAGCAAGGUUGUCUUCUGAAGAGAGUUGUGAAAGUAUCCAAGUGACGGGUGCCCGUGUCAUGUGAUACUGGAGAAAAAGAAGGUCAGAGACCAGAAUACUCUCAGCAGAAGACACUUUGAGAUCUAACCAAUGUUACGUGUGUGUGGUUUCAACACCACUGUGUAUAUAGGGGACAAAUUUAUGUCCUCAUCUGAAACAUCUAGUCCUUCUCGGUGUUUAGAAGUACAUAAAGUAUGUUAAAGGUAGAUGUAGUAAAUAAUACAUGUUGUAAAUUCUUGUUUAAACUCAUGGUGAAAUGCUGUCUUUUGGAAAUGGAAUGAUAAAACCAAUUCUGAGCAAUACAGACUUGUGCUGGUUUGGGAGGAAGGAAGAAAGAAAGCAUAUGUAGGGCCUAAUACUAAUGAAAGUUUUGGUAAUGCAAGAUUAACCAUUGUCCCUUUUUCCUGUGCAUCUUAUUUUGUGAUAUCUCGUGUAUAGAGAAGAUAGACAAGUCCAAAUAUGUAGUGCCUAAUCUUCCUAUGUGGUAAACAGGCUGCCAGUGUGUAACAAAGUAUAGUUAGUAAAAAGACAUGCUUUAAAGUUGUGUUAAAAUUCAGAGGAAAAAAACUUAAAACUACUUAGGACGUUGUUAAUAUCCCCACAAAAACAUGACAGUUAUAUAAACCUGACCCCUGGGUUAAGAGAGAUGGGAGAGGUUCUAGACCAGAACAUUGCUAUUUAUAAGUAUGUUAGGUUUGUGCAGUUUCUUUACUGCACUGCACUGUGCAUAUGCUGGGGAAACUGAAUGUUACUGAAAACAUCUAGUCUGUAGACUUUUAAGUGCAUAAUAGACUUGCUGUGGUAAUGCACGACUUUAAUCCUAGGGUGAGGCAGGUGGACCUUGUGAGUUCCAGGCCAGCCAAGGCUACACAGACUUUGUCUCAAAAUAGUAAGAAAAUGUGCAUAAUGGACUGGUAGGGUGUCUCAGCAGGUAAAGGCGCUUGCCAUCUAGAUGGUGGACCUGAGUUUGAUCUCCAGGAUCCACAUGAUAAAAGGAGAAAACUGAUUUACAGAUUGUCUUUUAGCCUCCAUACAAGCACAGUGGUAUGCAUGUGCCCACAUGAAUAUGCUAAUUCAUAAAUGUAAAAAAUGCACAACAUGGUAAAAAUAGAGGGUUACCAACACCUUUUAAGGGUUGUUGUUUCAUAGGAAUGGUUACAGUGGAGGAAUGGAAUUAUUAAACUUGGUCUUUGAGCAGAUACUGUUACCAGGUGGUGGAGGUAUGGAUAGGGGAAACAAUAGUGAAGUGUAAGGUACUGUGCCUGUUGGUUGGUUCCCGGUUGUCUAGUCAUUGUUCUGGUGUGCAUUUCAGUUAAUGUUGCCAAGUAUUAGAGGAUAAGUCCCAGUGCCCAAAGGAUGUUAGAAGUAGCAAGAUAGUCACUAUAAAUGUCCUGCUAGUCUUUUGGAAGGGCUGUCUUCUGGGGUGACCUUUGUAAUACCCUCACUAGAAUCAUCCCGAACUGGAGUUGUGCAGAGAAGAGGACAGAUGAGCAAGAGCUCUUUGCUAGGACAUAUAGAAAACUGUUAAAGCUGUACCCAGGGAUCCAUAUGUGCAUUUCUGGGAUGACACUUGUGUUUCUUGUGCACAAAGUUCAUUCCACAACAUCUGAAAUUCAUAAAUGUCCUAAAGGAGAGCAUAUGGUUAAAGGGAUAGCUCGACAGAUUUGACAAAAAAGGUUCCUCUUGAGCAUAGAAUUGUUAAACCAUGUCUGGACAGUGUGAGUUAAUUCAUGUUGCUAGGCUGACUGUGGAGGGGCAGAGGGAGGCUCAUAGAGUGAGAUCUGCAGCGCUCGUGUAGGAGAAAAGUGUAGAUCUCAGU